CCAUCUGCUGGUCGCGGCGGAACUGGUCGGCGCUGGGAUCGCCGACGAACAGGCUGGUCGGAAUCCGGCCGAACGGC
rnacentral:tRNA from 1 species